rnacentral:rRNA from 1 species
GUGAGGAAUUUUCCGCAAUGGGCGAAAGCCUGACGGAGCAAUGCCGCGUGAAGGAUGAAGGCCUAUGGGUUGUAAACUUCUUUUCUCAGAAAAGAAUUAUGACGGUAUCUGAGGAAUAAGCAUCGGCUAACUCUGUGCCAGCAGCCGCGGUAAGACAGAGGAUGCAAGCGUUAUCCGGAAUGAUUGGGCGUAAAGCGUCUGUAGGUUGUUUAAAAAGUAUUCUGUCAAAGAUUAGGGCUUAACCCUAGAUAGGCAGAAUAAACUUUUAAGCUAGAUUGUGGUAGAGGCAGGGUGAAUUCCCGGUGGAGCGGUGAAAUGCGUAGAUAUCGGGAGGAACAACAAAGGCGAAGGCACUCUGCUGGGCCAAUACUAACACUGAGAGACGAAAGCGAGGGGAGCAAAUGGGAUUAGAAACCCUUGUAGUCA